rnacentral:rRNA from 1 species
CCCUUAGAUGUUCUGGGCUGCACGCGCGCUACACUGAUGCGUUCAACGAGUUUAUCACCUUGCCCGAUAGGGUUGGGUAAUCUUUUGAAAACGCAUCGUGAUGGGGAUAGAUUAUUGUAAUUAUUAAUCUUCAACGAGGAAUUCCUAGUAAGUGCGAAUCAUCAGUUCGCGCUGAUUACGUCCCUGCCCUUUGUACACACCGCCCGUCGCACCUACCGAUUGGAUGGUCCGGUGAAGCCUCGGGAUUGUGGUUCUUGCCGCUUUAUUGUGGCGUGACCGCGAGAACUUGUCUAAACCUUAUCAUCUAGAGGAAGGUGAAGUCGUAACA